rnacentral:rRNA from 1 species
CCUACGGGAGGCUGCAGUGAGGAAUAUUGGUCAAUGGACGCAAGUCUGAACCAGCCAAGUAGCGUGCAGGAUGACGGCCCUCCGGGUUGUAAACUGCUUUUAGUUGGGAAUAAAAGGGGGCACGUGAGCCCCGUAUUGUAUGUACCAUCAGAAAAAGGGACCGGCUAAUUCCGUGCCAGCAGCCGCGGUAAUACGGAAGGUCCGGGCGUUAUCCGGUUUUAUUGGGUUUAAAGGGAGCGUAGGCCGGCUUUUAAGUCAGCUGUGAAAGUGCGCGGCUCAACCGUGGAAUUGCAGUUGAAACUGGAGGGCUUGAGUUCACACAGGGAUGCCGGAAUUCAUGGUGUAGCGGUGAAAUGCUUAGAUAUCAUGAAGAACGCCGAUCGCGAAGGCAAGUGUCCGGAGUGCAACUGACGCUGAGGCUCGAAAGUGCGGGUAUCAAACAGGAUUAGAUACCCCAGUAGUC